rnacentral:rRNA from 1 species
UACGUAGGGUGCAAGCGUUGUCCGGAAUUAUUGGGCGUAAAGAGCUUGUAGGCGGUUUGUCGCGUCUGCUGUGGAAUUUCGGGGCUCAACCCCGAACUUGCAGUGGGUACGGGCAGACUAGAGUGUGGUAGGGGAGACUGGAAUUCCUGGUGUAGCGGUGAAAUGCGCAGAUAUCAGGAGGAACACCGAUGGCGAAGGCAGGUCUCUGGGCCAUAACUGACGCUGAGGAGCGAAAGCGUGGGGAGCGAACAGG